UACCCAAAUUUUAAUAUAGUGGGCCAUAACUCAAUCGGAAAUUAUUUGUAUUUGGGCCGAAAUAUAUAUAGACCCAAAUCAUAAUACUAUUGCAAUGGAUCCAUUUAUUCGUUUGUUUGUUUGGAUUAAAUAUAGAGAUAAAUAUAUGACUCAUUUUUUUUUUUUCGUUACGGACAGAUAGUUGCAAAAGAAAAAACAAUUUUUUUCUUAUGGGUGAUAAAAAACAACAUCCUACAAAUCUCAGGCGAUUGUUCGUUCUAAGAAUCAAUCCCAAAAUUGUCUAAUAAUCGAUCUAUUACGUCUCCGUUUACCUCUUUUCAUGUCAAAUUCAUAAAAGAGUUCAGAUAAUGGUUUGCCCGACGAUGUUGCCAAAAGAAGAUGAUUCUGAAGAAGAUAAGAUUUACUUAUUAUGAAGAAGAGAGGUUCAAUGUCAUCUUUUGAGCUAUUCAAAAUACUUAAGCAAUAUUAAAGGCAAGCAUAAUCUCGGAGUUACAUUCACAUGGAGGAGGCUUCUAUUGAUUUUGGCUGUGGAGAAGUUAACACAGCCUUAUAUAAUGUUAAAGGCUUGAUGUUAGCAAGAUCGGUGAAUGCUAGUGGUGCAGCUGCCAUUUUCUUGGAAGGAACGGGAAGAGAAUAGCUGAUUGCUUUAAAAGAUCUCAAUCCUAAAUUCGAGAGCAUCAUAAAGGCCCUAAUAGGUGAAGCCCAAUAUGAUUAUUACGGAUACAAAUUCACAAUACGCAGGACCCACGUGCUUUACCGACUAUGGUUGGAUAUAGGUCCGACCCUUAGACCUGAGAUCCGCGUGUAAGUGUCAAGAAAAUUCUCAAUUUCACCCCUCUACGAUUUUUUUUAUUUAGUUGUAGAAUCAAAAAUUUGUAAUGGCAUUUCUUUGUAAUUCUUUACACUUUAUAAGG